rnacentral:rRNA from 1 species
UACGUAGGGGGCAAGCGUUGUCCGGAAUCAUUGGGCGUAAAGCGCGUGUAGGCGGUCCGGUAAGUCCGCUGUGAAAGUCCAGGGCUCAACCCUGGGAUGCCGGUGGAUACUGUCGGGCUAGAGUGCGGAAGAGGCGAGUGGAAUUCCUGGUGUAGCGGUGGAAAUGCGCAGAUAUCAGGAGGAACACCAAUUGCGAAGGCAGCUCGCUGGGACGUAACUGACGCUGAGACGCGAAAGCGUGGGGAGCAAACAGG